rnacentral:rRNA from 1 species
GUAAAGCCCUGUCAGCUACUAUGAAUCGCGGGUGGUGAAUAACCAUCCCGUUUGACGUAAGUAGCAAAGGAAGCACCGGCUAACUACGUGCCAGCAGCCGCGGUAAUACGUAGGGUGCAAACGUUGUUCGGAAUCACUGGGCAUAAAGAGCGCGUAGGCGGUUCAGUAAGUCAAGCGUGAAAGACCUCAGCCCAACUGAGGAAUGGCGCUUGAUACUGCUGGGCUUGAGUGCAGGAGGGGAGAGCGGAAUUCCUGGUGGAGCGGUGAAAUGCGUAGAUAUCAGGAGGAACGCCAGCGGCGAAAGCGGCUCUCUGGUCUGCAACUGACGCUGAGGCGCGAAAGCUAGGGGAGCAAACGGGAUUAGAUACCCCGGUAGUCCUAGCCCUAAACGAUGGGUACUAAGUAGGGGGAGCUCCGAUGUUCUCUCUGCUGCAGCUAAUGUAUUAAGUACCCCGCCUGGGGAGUAUGGUCGCAAGGCUA